rnacentral:tRNA from 2 species
GGGAAUAGCUCAGUUGGUAGAGCACAACCUUGCCAAGGUUGGGGUCGCGGGUUCGAGUCCCGUUUCCC